UCGAUCAGCCCGAAACUUCAACAUCUUUUUGGCAGCUCCGUCCCCAGUUUGGCAGCCUCAGAGGACCCGCCGGCCACCCUGAUCCUACCAUGCCUCUGAGAAGCUCCUGAGCUGAAAAUCAACUUGCUUCUCAGAGAUCCUUCAGAUCCUGUGGGCAUAAGGGUUAAAUGAAGCUCCCGAUUCAUCUGCUGUUAUUGCUGCCGCUGCUGAGAAGCUGAGAUUGAUUGAGCAGUUCUCCCUUCUCUUCGGUCAGCCUGCCCAGCCUUCUUCUGUGUGGACAGGAGCAUAAUGAAUGAAGGUCCUCUGCCCCUGUCCCUCCGACUUGCUCCCCUCAGACAGCACGGGGUUGCUUUCCCUCCCUGUGUGGCAGUCCUACCGAUGAGAAGCAAGUCGACCAGAUGGGCGUGGAUGCUGUGGAACCAGAGCUGGUGGCUAGGAUGGGGCUGCUCAGGCAAUAUUAAAGGAGAGCUUCCUCUCAAGGCUUGCAAGGAAGAGGGCAGCAAAUGGGGCUUGAGAGGGGGUCACUGUGUGUUUAUGGCUGAAAAUCUUCCCAGACACGAGAUGAUACAUUCCAGCUGGGGACUGUCAGAUCUGCUCAGAAGCAAGGAGGUUUGUAUCGAUGUUAAUUCCCCUGAAUUCUUCAGCGGCUAAAGAUGGUCAGCGCUCCCCCCUUUCCUAAUGUCCUUCAUGUCUUAGGAUCCUUGGACUGCAAGGGCCUUCCGAAGGUCAUCGCUGCCAUCCCCCUGCUUCUAGGCAAGCCUGUUCUCCAAUCAAUCCUCAUUAAGUUCCUUGGUUUUCUGUAAAGAGUUCUAGCAAAGGAGGCUCCAGACCCACUGCUAUCUUAUCCUGCCAAGAUGUUCUUUUUGAUAUCACGUUUCAGUUCCUCUGGCUUUCUAUAUUAUUCCAUUUUGUCUUCACAUGACAGAUUCCUUUUUUGACCAACGUGGUUCUUUUUAGCAGCACCAGGCAGUCUGUUGACAUCACAGUCUGUUGCUAUGGCAAUUCUGUGAUGUCACAACAGACACUGAAAGGAAGGGGCUAAUCUAAUUUUUUGGAUCGAGCAAGAACUUGAUUGGGGAAUAAUGUGAUCAGUGAAUGGAAAAGCAAAUGGACAACAUUAUUAUUUAACCCAUAAUGAGACAAGUUGGUAGGAUGUAACUGGGGUCAACCGCUGCUGAUAUUUAAACAGCUUAAUCUUAAAUCCAGAAGGUCAAUAUAUUCAGCUAUUUCGUGGGACUUUUGCAAAUGAUUUAUCCUGGUGACAGGAGGCCUCGGUUUUCAGAUCACAUCCUUUCCCUGUCCCUAAUCCAGUUUCUUGGGCCCUCUCCUGAUGCCGGCUUGAGGUUCCUGCCCAU
ensembl:lncRNA novel transcript